rnacentral:lncRNA from 1 species
CUCAAGAUAACUUUGCUUUUGGAAAUGCUGGAUAGACAAAACAAAAUUUACCCACUAUUCUCUUUUACUUUUAAGCCACUACUUAAGAUUCCUGAGUUAAGAAAUUCAGUUCAGCCUGGCAAUGGGAGACUAUGUUCUGAAUCCUAGACUAUUCCACUUCUCCAUCAUUUGCUUUGUUCCUUGUCAGUCCACCAGAGCUAAAUGGGGUCUCAUGGGAAAGGAGGCAAAAAAACAAAUUUUGAAGAAUUUCUAAUAAGAUUCAAAGAAUGCCCACCAACCUUCACCACAAUACAAUAACUCAUAUAUAAGAACAAAACUUUAUAGUCCUAAAUUUAUGCAUGGUGUUAGUGGGAAGGACCUUACCUAAUUCCUUAAGUCCCAAAUUAGAAUGUUUUCAAAGAGAAGCAAAAUGUGUUUUAAAAAUAAGGAAAGAUAAAAAAAAAAAGUUCAACAUCUCCAGCAAUUAGAGAAAUGCAAAUUAAAAUUACACCAAGAUUCCCUCUCACUCCAGUCAGAAUGGCAGUUAUAAAGAAUACAAAUAGCCAGGCACAGUAGUGCACACCUGUAAUCUCAGAGGCUCAGAAGGCUGAGGCAGGAGGAUCCCGAGUUCAAAGCCAGCCUCAGCAACAGUGAAGUGCUAAGCAACUCAGUGAGACCCUGUCUCUAAAUAAAAUACAAAAUAGGGCUGGGGAUAUGGCUCAGUGGUCAAGUGCCCCUGAGUUCAAUCCCCAGUACCAAAAUAAUAAUAAUAAUAAUAACAAUAAAUGUUGGCAAAAAUGUGGGAAGAAAUGUACUCUCAUACAUUGUUGGUGGGACAGACAAUUGGUGCAACCUCUGUGGAAAGCAGUAUGGAGAUUCCUCAGAGAACUUGGAAUGGAACUACCAUUUGACCCAGCUAUCCCACUCCUCAGUCUGUUCCCAAAGAACUUAAAAAUAGCAUACUACAGUGACACAGCCACAACCAUGUUUAUAGCAGCUCAACUCACAAUAGCCAAGCUAUGGAAACAAGGUAGGUGUUCUUCAAUGGAUGAAUGGAUAAAGAAAAUGUGGUAUAUAUACACAAUGGUAUAUUUCUCAGCCAUAAAGAAGAAUGAAAUUAUGGCAUUUGCCAGUAAAUGAAUGAAACUGGAAAAUAUCAUGCUAAAUGAAAUAAGCCAAUCUCAGAAAAACCAAAGACCAAAUGUUCUCUUUGAUUUGUGGAUGCUAACUCAAAACAAAGAAGGUUGGGGAGGGGAAUAAUAGAAGUCCAUUGGACUAGACAAAGGGAAAUGAAGGGAAAGGAGCAGAGAAGAGAAUAGAAAAGACAGUAGAAUUAAUUGCACAUAACUUUCCUAGUGUUGUACUUGUAUACACAACCAGGGUAGCUCCAUAUCAUGUACAAUCACAAGAGUGGGAACCUAAAUAGAAUACAUUAUACUUUAUGUAUAUAUACUCUGCCAAAAUACAUUCUACUGUUGUGUAUAACUAAAAAUAAAAAUAUAAAAAAUUUGGGAGAAUGCAGGACAAGUUUUGCCUUCAAAAUCAAUUUUUCUUGGGCUAGGGCUGUGGCUCAGUGGUAGAGCGCUCACCUAGCCUGUUCGAGGCCCUGGGUUUGAUCCUCAGCACCACAUAAAAAUAAAUAAAUAAAAUAAAGGUAUUGUGUCCAACUACAACUAAAAAUAAAUAUUUUUUAAAAAAUCAAUUUUUCAAUCAACUUGCCCUUGAAUCAAGAUCUUGAGAAAGUAUAUGGAAGCAUAAGAAAACAUAGAUGUAUCCAUGGUGUGUGUGUGUAUAUGCAUGUAUUUGUACAUUUGUAUGUAUAUAUGCAUAUGUGCUUUUAGAUGUAUGUUUUUAUCUAGAUAGCAGUUAGAAGAGACUUAAUUGUUUAAUUUAAUACAAUAAACACUUUUUACACAUAGAAAAAAAUAAGGAAGAAAAGCAAAAUAUCCCAUAAGAAUCAUUCCAUGUCUAUUUCAUUAUAUCAUUAAGACAAUCCUUCCAGCCCUCAGU